rnacentral:rRNA from 1 species
GACGAACGCUGGCGGCGUGCUUAACACAUGCAAGUCGAACGGAAAGGCCCUGCUUUUGUGGGGUGCUCGAGUGGCGAACGGGUGAGUAACACGUGAGUAACCUGCCCUUGACUUUGGGAUAACUUCAGGAAACUGGGGCUAAUACCGGAUAGGAUCUCCUGCUGCAUGGUGGGGGUUGGAAAGUUUCGGCGGUUGGGGAUGGACUCGCGGCUUAUCAGCUUGUUGGUGGGGUAGUGGCUUACCAAGGCUUUGACGGGUAGCCGGCCUGAGAGGGGGGACGGCCAACAUGGGACUGGGAGAAGGCCCAGACGUCUAUCGGAGGCAACAGGGGGGAAGAUUGCCAAAUGGGGGGGAGGCUGGUGUGACGAAGCCGGGUGCGGGAAGACGGGCUUUUGGUUGGAAACCGCUUUCGCCUGUGACGAAGCGUGAGUGACGGUAAUGGGUAAAGAAGCACCGGCUAACUACGUG